rnacentral:rRNA from 1 species
CCUACGGGUGGCAGCAGUGAGGAAUAUUGGUCAAUGGACGAGAGUCUGAACCAGCCAAGUAGCGUGAAGGAUGACUGCCCUAUGGGUUGUAAACUUCUUUUAUAAAGGAAUAAAACGAGGCACGUGUGCCUUUUUGCAUGUACUUUAUGAAUAAGGAUCGGCUAACUCCGUGCCAGCAGCCGCGGUAAUACGGAGGAUCCGAGCGUUAUCCGGAUUUAUUGGGUUUAAAGGGGGCGUAGAUGGGUUGUUAAGUCAGUUGCGAAAGUUUGCGGCUCAACCGUGAAAUUGCAAUUGAUACUGGCAGUCUUGAGUACAGUUGAGGUAGGCGGAAUUCGUGGUGUAGCGGUGAAAUGCUUAGAUAUCACGAAGAACCCCGAUUGCGAAGGCAGCUUACUAAGCUGUGACUGACAUUGAUGCUCGAAAGUGUGGGUAUCAAACAGGAUUAGAUACCCGUGUAGUC